rnacentral:misc_RNA from 1 species
GAAAUGCGAUAAGUAAUGUGAAUUGCAGAAUUCAGUGAAUCAUCGAAUCUUUGAACGCACAUUGCGCCCGCCAGUAUUCUGGCGGGCAUGCCUUUUCGAGCGUCAUUUCAACCAUCAAGCCCCCGGCUUGUGUUGGGGACCUGCGGCUGCCCGCAGGCCCUGAAAAACAGUGGCGGGCUCGCUGUCACACCGAGCGUAGUAGCAUACAUUCUCGCUCAGGGCGUGCUGCGGGUUCCGGCCGUUAAACGACCUUCAUAACCCAAGGUUGACCUCGGAUCAGGUAGGAAGACCCGCUGAACUUAAGC